GCUUACGGCCAUACCACCCUGAACGCGCCCGAUCUCGUCCGAUCUCGGAAGCUAAGCAGGGUCGGGCCUGGUUGGUACUUGGAUGGGAGACCGCCUGGGAAUACCAGGUGCUGUAAGCC
rnacentral:rRNA from 15 species